rnacentral:rRNA from 1 species
GGUAGUCCACGCCCUAAACGAUGUCAACUAGCUGUUGGGGCCUUCGGGCCUUGGUAGCGCAGCUAACGCGUGAAGUUGACCGCCUGGGGAGUACGGUCGCAAGAUUAAAACUCAAAGGAAUUGACGGGGACCCGCACAAGCGGUGGAUGAUGUGGAUUAAUUCGAUGCAACGCGAAAAACCUUACCUACCCUUGACAUGUCUGGAAUCCCAAAGAGAUAGGGAGUGCUCGCAAGAGAACCGGAACACAGGUGCUGCAUGGCUGUCGUCAGCUCGUGUCGUGAGAUGUUGGGUUAAGUCCCGCAACGAGCGCAACCCUUGUCAUUAGUUGCUACGAAAGGGCACUCUAAUGAGACUGCCGGUGACAAACCGGAGGAAGGUGGGGAUGACGUCAAGUCCUCAUGGCCCUUAUGGGUAGGGCUUCACACGUCAUACAAUGGUCGGGACAGAGGGUCGCCAACCCGCGAGGGGGAGCCAAUCCCAGAAACCCGAUCGUAGUCCGGAUCGUAGUCUGCAACUCGACUACGUGAAGUCGGAAUCGCUAGUAAUCGCGGAUCAGAAUGUCGCGGUGAAUACGUUCCCGGGUCUUGUACACACCGCCCGUCACACCAUGGGAGUGGGUUCCACCAGAAGUAGUUAGCCUAACCGCAAGGAGGGCGAUUACCACGGUGGGGUUCAUGACUGGGGUGAAGUCGUAACAAGGUAGCCGUAUCGGAAGGUGC